AGAGUUUGAUUAUGGCUCAGAACGAACGCUGGCGGCGCGUUUUAAGCAUGCAAGUCGAGCGGCAAGGGCCUUCGGGCCCCUAGAGCGGCGGACGGGUGAGUAACACGUGGACAAUCUGCCCCCCGGCCGGGGAUAGCCCAGGGAAACCUGGAUUAAUACCGGAUGAGACGGGACCCGCGGAGGCGGGAUCCGGGAAAGGCGCUGCGGCGCCGCCGGGGGAUGAGUCUGCGUCCCAUUAGCUUGACGGCGGGGUAACGGCCCACCGUGGCGACGAUGGGUAGCCGGCCUGAGAGGGUGUACGGCCACAUUGGAACUGAGACACGGUCCAGACUCCUACGGGAGGCAGCAGCUAAGAAUCUUCCGCAAUGGGCGAAAGCCUGACGGAGCGACGCCGCGUGAACGAAGAAGGCCGUGAGGUUGUAAAGUUCUUUUCGGGAGGGGGAACAACCGUGGCAGGGAAUGGCCGCGGGAUGACGUGAAUCCCGGAAUAAGCCCCGGCUAACUACGUGCCAGCAGCCGCGGUAACACGUAGGGGGCGAGCGUUGUUCGGAAUCAUUGGGCGUAAAGGGCGUGCAGGCGGUCCUGCAAGUCCGGCGUGAAAGACCCCGGCCCAACCGGGGGGGCGCGCUGGAAACUGCAGGGCUUGAGUACAGGAGGGGAUGCCGGAAUUCCAGGUGUAGGGGUGAAAUCUGUAGAUAUCUGGAGGAACACCAAUGGCGAAGGCAGGCAUCUGGCCAUGUACUGACGCUGAGACGCGAAGGUGCGGGGAGCAAACAGGAUUAGAUACCCUGGUAGUC
rnacentral:rRNA from 1 species